UACAUGCAAGUCGAACGCUUUGUGGUUCAACUGAUUUGAAGAGCUUGCUCAGAUAUGACGAUGGACAUUGCAAAGAGUGGCGAACGGGUGAGUAACACGUGGGAAACCUACCUCUUAGCAGGGGAUAACAUUUGGAAACAGAUGCUAAUACCGUAUAACAAUGACAACCGCAUGGUUGUUAUUUAAAAGAUGGUUCUGCUAUCACUAAGAGAUGGUCCCGCGGUGCAUUAGCUAGUUGGUAAGGUAAUGGCUUACCAAGGCGAUGAUGCAUAGCCGAGUUGAGAGACUGAUCGGCCACAAUGGGACUGAGACACGGCCCAUACUCCUACGGGAGGCAGCAGUAGGGAAUCUUCCACAAUGGGCGAAAGCCUGAUGGAGCAACGCCGCGUGUGUGAUGAAGGGUUUCGGCUCGUAAAACACUGUUGUAAGAGAAGAAUGACAUUGAGAGUAACUGUUCAAUGUGUGACGGUAUCUUACCAGAAAGGAACGGCUAAAUACGUGCCAGCAGCCGCGGUAAUACGUAUGUUCCAAGCGUUAUCCGGAUUUAUUGGGCGUAAAGCGAGCGCAGACGGUUAUUUAAGUCUGAAGUGAAAGCCCUCAGCUCAACUGAGGAAUUGCUUUGGAAACUGGAUGACUUGAGUGCAGUAGAGGAAAGUGGAACUCCAUGUGUAGCGGUGAAAUGCGUAGAUAUAUGGAAGAACACCAGUGGCGAAGGCGGCUUUCUGGACUGUAACUGACGUUGAGGCUCGAAAGUGUGGGUAGCAAACAGGAUUAGAUACCCUGGUAGUCCACACCGUAAACGAUGAGUGCUAGGUGUUUGAGGGUUUCCGCCCUUAAGUGCCGCAGCUAACGCAUUAAGCACUCCGCCUGGGGAGUACGACCGCAAGGUUGAAACUCAAAGGAAUUGACGGGGACCCGCACAAGCGGUGGAGCAUGUGGUUUAAUUCGAAGCAACGCGAAGAACCUUACCAGGUCUUGACAUCCCUUGACAACUCCAGAGAUGGAGCGUUCCCUUCGGGGACAAGGUGACAGGUGGUGCAUGGUUGUCGUCAGCUCGUGUCGUGAGAUGUUGGGUUAAGUCCCGCAACGAGCGCAACCCUUAUUACUAGUUGCCAGCAUUCAGUUGGGCACUCUAGUGAGACUGCCGGUGACAAACCGGAGGAAGGUGGGGAUGACGUCAAAUCAUCAUGCCCCUUAUGACCUGGGCUACACACGUGCUACAAUGGCGUAUACAACGAGUUGCCAACCCGCGAGGGUGAGCUAAUCUCUUAAAGUACGUCUCAGUUCGGAUUGUAGGCUGCAACUCGCCUACAUGAAGUCGGAAUCGCUAGUAAUCGCGGAUCAGCACGCCGCGGUGAAUACGUUCCCGGGUCUUGUACACACCGCCCGUCACACCAUGAGAGUUUGUAACACCCAAAGCCCGGUGGGGUAACCUUC
rnacentral:rRNA from 1 species